GCGGAAAACUAAUUGGAGUAAACCAUGGUAUCGAGACAAUGUAAACCACGGUAUUCCUCGUACGGAGUUCACUUUAAAGGGAGGGAUCGUAAUUAUUAAUGUGUUAUUAUUUCUGCAUAGAUGGAGUGAAAGUUGGGGCAAAGGCAGCCACAAUUGUCUGUAUCGCAUCUGCAUGUUUACCCUAAGAUUUGUCAGAUCAAUUUUGUUUUAUUUUCUGUCAAUACUUUGUUCCUCUUUGUUCUGUCUGUCUUUCUGUUAUUUCUUUCAUUAUAUAUUUUUUUCCGAAUAAAAUGUUUGUUCAAUGGUUUGCCCUGUCUUUUCGUUAUGUUGUCUUUGUUUUUUUUAAAGAGUCUGUUUACAGUGUGCACACUGGUCUGUCUUUCAUGAUUUUUAUCUGUUAUUUGUUCUUUUUUCUUGUUUUUUUUUACAUUUUGUGUGGUAGAAGAUGAAGAAGAAAUGCAAAAGAGGAGGCAGGGAUCAUGAAAUAGCAACAAAAUAAGGGAAAAAUUCUUCGUCCAGUCAUGGUACUGACAAUGGAUUCAUUGGUGGGACCAUUUCUCAGAGGAGGCCUUGCUAAGCUCUUCAUGACUCCCUUUGAACCCACUCACAGGUGGAUGUGAUUAUUUUGGUCAGGGGAAAAGCUUGUGGAGUGGGACAUCUUACUUCUUGGCAAAUCACAAAUGUUUUAGGAUUGUCUGUGGGUUAUAGUAACACAAAGAAGCCGCAAUCAUUGAAGUUGACAUGUUUGGUGAGGUUGACAUGAAAGAUUACAAUCGGGACUUGGAUGGGAGCAUGUUGCAGCAAAAAAACUGCAGUUUGAUAAGAAAAAUCCUAAAGUGGGCUGAGCAGCUAUAUGAAUUUGUCUUUUUCAACAUGAUGUAUUCAAAACAGCAAGAGGUGGAACUAGGCUUCAAUCAUUUAUGUAGUUAUAUUUUGGUCAAGCAUGUUGACUUGAUGGCAUUGUAAUAUGUACAAAUAUAGUGUUUAAUAAAAAAUAUUGGAAGGGGUUAAAAUCCCCUUCUCAGGACUGAAAGGAAUAGUCAUUGGCCAUGAUUAUUCCUUCAGGUCAUGUUUUUGAUAGCUUAAAGAAUGGUCGAUAGGCCAAGGCCAUUCUUUAAGAUUUGUGUCUCAUUUCUUUUGGCAUUCUUUUUAUUAGUUCAAUUUUUAUUUAAGAAUUUAUUAA